rnacentral:rRNA from 1 species
CGCCUGUUUAUCAAAAACAUGUCCUUUUGAGUUUGAUUUAAGGUCUGACCUGCCCACUGAGAAAUUAAAUGGCCGCGGUAAUUUGACCGUGCAAAGGUAGCAUAAUAAUUAGUUUUUUAAUUGAAAGCUUGCAUGAACGGUUGGAUGAGAAAAUAACUGUCUCUUGCUAAAUUAAUAUAUAACUUUAUUUUUAAGUAAAAAAGCUUAAAUGUAAUUAAAAGACGAGAAGACCCUGUAGAGUUUUAUAUUUUUUUUUGUUAUUUCUAUAUAGUAUCCAUUCUUUUAACGGGAAUAUUUAUUUGGUUGGGGCGAUCGAAAAAUUUAAUAAACUUUUUCCUAAGCAGAACACUUAUUUGUGUAUAUAUGAUCCAGAUUUUCUGAUUAUUAGAUCAAAUUACCUUAGGGAUAACAGCGUAA